AGACAGUCGUCAGGUAACACGGUCAAUAGAGACUUUACUAGCCUAAUACAUAUUCGCCGAGCAUGGCGAAAUAUGCGGCGCACCUUCAAAGAAACCAUUCAUGUUGUCGUCUUGUUUUUCUUCUUCAUUUUCGUCUUCGCGCUGAUCGCUUUUAAGAUAUUUAAUGUGAGACAGGACAUUAC